rnacentral:rRNA from 1 species
AUUGAACGCUGGCGGCAUGCUUUACACAUGCAAGUCGAACGGCCGCGCGGGCUUCGGCCUGGCGGCGCCUGGCGAACGGGUGAGUAAUCCAUCGGAACGUGCCCAGUAGUGGGGGAUAGCUCGGCGAAAGCCCGAUUAAUACCGCAUACGACCUGAGGGUGAAAGCGGGGGUUCCUCGGACCUCGCGCUAUUGGAGCGACCGAUGGAAGAUUAGCUAGUUGGUGGGUUAAAGGCCUACCAAGGCGACGAUCUGUAGCCGGUCUGAGAGGACGACCAGCCACACUGGAACUGGGACACGGCCCAGACUCCUACGGGAGGCAGCAGUGGGGAAUUUUGGACAAUGGGCGAAAGCCUGAUCCAGCAAUGCCGCGUGUGUGAUGAAGGCCUUCGGGUUGUAAAGCACUUUUGGCGGGAACGAAAAGGACUGUGCCAAUACCACGGUUCGAUGACGGUACCCGCAGAAUAAGCACCGGCUAACUACGUG